UGGGGAAUAUUGCACAAUGGAGGGAACUCUGAUGCAGCGACGCCGCGUGAGUGAUGAAGGACUUCGUUUCGUAAAACUCUGUUCUAUGGGAAGAAAAGGACUGUACCAUAGGAGAAAGCUCCGGCUAAAUACGUGCCAGCAGCCGCGGUAAUACGUAUGGAGCGAGCGUUGUCCGGAAUUAUUGGGCGUAAAGGGUGCGCAGGCGGCUUUACAAGUUGGAUGUGAAAUAUUGUGGCUCAACCACAAACGUGCAUCCAAAACUGCAAAGCUUGAGUUAAGGAGAGGUAAGUGGAAUUCCUGGGGUAGCGGUGGAAUGCGUAGAUAUCAGGAGGAAUACCGGUGGCGAAGGCGACUUACUGGACUUAAACUGACGCUCAGGCACGAAAGCGUGGGGAGCAAACAGG
rnacentral:rRNA from 1 species